CAGUUCCGAAUAAUUAAUUUUUCGUGCUUUGGCUCUGUUAACCGAUUUAAAAACCAUCAUAAGAAUAUUUCAGUUAGUGAGACAGUUUCUGAUUAGAAAUAAAGUAAGUCCCAUACAAACAUCCUCGACUUGACUCAUCAGCUGUUCCAACAAUAUUUGAUAGCGAUAAGGAGGCACAAUACAAUAAUCAAAAUACUACACUUUCCGAUCUCACUUCAAACUCAAUUAGCAAAACUGUUAUUACUGAGCACAGUUAUUGUUCUUCAGAGAAAUUAUCUCCAGAAUUUGUUAACAAGCCAAUAAGCGAUUUUGCUGCAGAAAUCUUGAAAACAGAUAACGGUUGUUCUGACAAUAACAAACAAGAAAAUCUAAAAUACGUAAUAACAGAUGGAGUAAUAGAUAUAAAUAACUUAGAGAAUACGCAUUUAAAGCUUCAACACGAGGUACCUUCUCCAAUGGAAAUAGAUAAUAUUGAAUCGACACAGAAUAAAGAAAUUAAGGAUCAUUCAAUAAUACAUCCUACAUUGAAAGUGCAAAAUCUUAGUUUUGACAUUAUUUCAAAAGUCACUAUAUUAGUGAUCAUACUAAUCAUGUUGUGACAAAUAGUGUGAACGACAAUAAUAUUAUUGCAAUGCCAAAGCCAUGGAGUGUUUCUAAAUUCACAGAUAAAAUUGAAACUAUUGUAUUCUCAAUAUCUGUGAAGAAGAUAGAAAAUAAUAUAAAAAUACCGGUAACACAAAAAACCGUAACGAUUAGUGCCGAUAAGAACAUUUGUUAUUUUGUGUACGGGCGUGUUGUUGAUGCACAGAAAUGUAAUCUCGCACAGAUUCUGGACUAUUUAAAGCAGUUGCCGCAAUUUUUGAAUAUAUUUAAAAAUAUGAGUAUCUGCAAUGGUCUCGACACUAUGAACGUUAACCACUUAUCAACACAUAAUGUAUUUAAAAAUUAUAUUGGCGAAUGGCGUUCACAAGAGCGCACAUAGAUCUCAAAGAAGAAAAAAUGUAAUCGUUGCUUACAGAUAAGGCAGUUGACAUGGGAAAAAGAAAUGAGAUCAAAAAGAACUACCAAAUAUAUACAUGCAGCUUCAAAUCCCAUCAAUCCCAGAUCAAAAAAAGAUAAUCGCGCUUAGGAAGAACAAUCUUCCUGAACGGCGUCAAAAGAUGAGAGCACAGAGACGUGUCUAAUUAUUACAGCAAUCUUUAAAAGACAAAAAAAGUGAACAUUUUUCGAUCAGUGCCGAAACAUUGGAAGCACGAAGCUCGCAAUUUAAUAUCCCUGCUGCACAAGAAAAGUGUACUUAAAGAAAUUAUUCUGGCUGCGAGUAAGAAAAAUUCUAAAAAUUGGCGGUACAGUGAAGAAUGGAUUAUGCUGUGUCUACUGAUGAAUAUAAGAUCACCAGGAUAUUAAGAAUUUUUUUGUACAAACAACAUUUUGCCACUGCCUUGUAAGAGAACAAUCCGUCGUUACUUAUCACUCGUCAACAUGAAAUGUGGCUUCGACGAAGAAUUUCUAAAAUUACUCCAAAAACAUUUUGACGCUAAUACACCUAUGCAGCGACAUGGUGUAAUUCUAUCUAAUGCUAUAUCUAUAUCUAUAAUAUAUCUAACGCUUGAGGGGAUUUAUCCCAGAGCGUAUAAU